GCUUUCUUAUAUAAUUAGUACUGCUGACUUCCAAUCACCAAGUUCCGUUAAUAUAAUGGAAGAAAGCA